GUUAUAUGGUCAAGUGAAGAAGCGCAUACGGUGGAUGCCUUGGCAGUCAGAGGCGAUGAAAGACGUGGUAGCCUGCGAAAAGCUUCGGGGAGUCGGCAAACAGACUUUGAUCCGGAGAUGUCUGAAUGGGGGAACCCAGCCAUCAUAAGAUGGUUAUCUUGUACUGAAUACAUAGGUGCAAGAGGCGAACCAGGGGAACUGAAACAUCUAAGUACCCUGAGGAAAAGAAAUCAACCGAGAUUCCCUUAGUAGUGGCGAGCGAACGGGGACUAGCCCUUAAGUGGCUUUGAGAUUAGCGGAACGCUCUGGAAAGUGCGGCCAUAGUGGGUGAUAGCCCUGUACGCGAAAAUCUCUUAGUCAUGAAAUCGAGUAGGACGGAGCACGAGAAACUUUGUCUGAAUAUGGGGGGACCAUCCUCCAAGGCUAAAUACUACUGACUGACCGAUAGUGAACUAGUACCGUGAGGGAAAGGCGAAAAGAACCCCGGAGAGGGGAGUGAAAUAGAUCCUGAAACCGUAUGCGUACAAGCAGUGGGAGCCCACUUUGUUGGGUGACUGCGUACCUUUUGUAUAAUGGGUCAGCGACUUAUUUUCAGUGGCGAGCUUAACCGAAUAGGGGAGGCGUAGCGAAAGCGAGUCUUAAUAGGGCGUCUAGUCGCUGGGAAUAGACCCGAAACCGGGCGAUCUAUCCAUGGGCAGGUUGAAGGUUGGGUAACACUAACUGGAGGACCGAACCGACUACCGUUGAAAAGUUAGCGGAUGACCUGUGGAUCGGAGUGAAAGGCUAAUCAAGCUCGGAGAUAGCUGGUUCUCCUCGAAAGCUAUUUAGGUAGCGCCUCAUGUAUCACUGUAGGGGGUAGAGCACUGUUUCGGCUAGGGGGUCAUCCCGACUUACCAAACCGAUGCAAACUCCGAAUACCUACAAGUGCCGAGCAUGGGAGACACACGGCGGGUGCUAACGUCCGUCGUGAAAAGGGAAACAACCCAGACCGUCAGCUAAGGUCCCAAAGUUAUGGUUAAGUGGGAAACGAUGUGGGAAGGCUUAGACAGCUAGGAGGUUGGCUUAGAAGCAGCCACCCUUUAAAGAAAGCGUAAUAGCUCACUAGUCGAGUCGGCCUGCGCGGAAGAUGUAACGGGGCUCAAACCAUACACCGAAGCUACGGGUAUCACGUAAGUGAUGCGGUAGAGGAGCGUUCUGUAAGCCUGUGAAGGUGAGUUGAGAAGCUUGCUGGAGGUAUCAGAAGUGCGAAUGCUGACAUGAGUAACGACAAUGGGUGUGAAAAACACCCACGCCGAAAGACCAAGGUUUCCUGCGCAACGUUAAUCGACGCAGGGUUAGUCGGUCCCUAAGGCGAGGCUGAAAAGCGUAGUCGAUGGAAAACAGGUUAAUAUUCCUGUACUUCUGGUUAUUGCGAUGGAGGGACGGAGAAGGCUAGGCCAGCUUGGCGUUGGUUGUCCAAGUUUAAGGUGGUAGGCUGAGAUCUUAGGUAAAUCCGGGAUCUUAAGGCCGAGAGCUGAUGACGAGUCAUCUUUUAGAUGACGAAGUGGUUGAUGCCAUGCUUCCAAGAAAAGCUUCUAAGCUUCAGGUAACCAGGAACCGUACCCCAAACCGACACAGGUGGUUGGGUAGAGAAUACCAAGGCGCUUGAGAGAACUCGGGUGAAGGAACUAGGCAAAAUGGCACCGUAACUUCGGGAGAAGGUGCGCCGGUGAGGGUGAAGGACUUGCUCCGUAAGCUCAUGCCGGUCGAAGAUACCAGGCCGCUGCGACUGUUUAUUAAAAACACAGCACUCUGCAAACACGAAAGUGGACGUAUAGGGUGUGACGCCUGCCCGGUGCCGGAAGGUUAAUUGAUGGGGUUAGCUAACGCGAAGCUCUUGAUCGAAGCCCCGGUAAACGGCGGCCGUAACUAUAACGGUCCUAAGGUAGCGAAAUUCCUUGUCGGGUAAGUUCCGACCUGCACGAAUGGCGUAACGAUGGCGGCGCUGUCUCCACCCGAGACUCAGUGAAAUUGAAAUCGCUGUGAAGAUGCAGUGUAUCCGCGGCUAGACGGAAAGACCCCGUGAACCUUUACUAUAGCUUUGCACUGGACUUUGAAUUUGCUUGUGUAGGAUAGGUGGGAGGCUUUGAAGCGUGGACGCCAGUCUGCGUGGAGCCAUCCUUGAAAUACCACCCUGGCAACUUUGAGGUUCUAACUCAGGUCCGUUAUCCGGAUCGAGGACAGUGUAUGGUGGGUAGUUUGACUGGGGCGGUCUCCUCCUAAAGAGUAACGGAGGAGUACGAAGGUGCGCUCAGACCGGUCGGAAAUCGGUCGUAGAGUAUAAAGGCAAAAGCGCGCUUGACUGCGAGACAGACACGUCGAGCAGGUACGAAAGUAGGUCUUAGUGAUCCGGUGGUUCUGUAUGGAAGGGCCAUCGCUCAACGGAUAAAAGGUACUCCGGGGAUAACAGGCUGAUACCGCCCAAGAGUUCAUAUCGACGGCGGUGUUUGGCACCUCGAUGUCGGCUCAUCACAUCCUGGGGCUGAAGCCGGUCCCAAGGGUAUGGCUGUUCGCCAUUUAAAGUGGUACGCGAGCUGGGUUUAGAACGUCGUGAGACAGUUCGGUCCCUAUCUGCCGUGGACGUUUGAGAUUUGAGAGGGGCUGCUCCUAGUACGAGAGGACCGGAGUGGACGAACCUCUGGUGUUCCGGUUGUCACGCCAGUGGCAUUGCCGGGUAGCUAUGUUCGGAAUAGAUAACCGCUGAAAGCAUCUAAGCGGGAAACUAGCCUCAAGAUGAGAUCUCACUGGAACCUUGAGUUCCCUGAAGGGCCGUCGAAGACUACGACGUUGAUAGGUUGGGUGUGUAAGCGCUGUGAGGCGUUGAGCUAACCAAUACUAAUUGCCCGUGAGGCUUGACCAUAUAACACCCAAGCAAUU
rnacentral:rRNA from 1 species